rnacentral:rRNA from 1 species
UACGUAGGUGGCAAGCGUUGUCCGGAAUCACUGGGCGUAAAGCGCGCGCAGGCGGCGAUCUACGUCUGGGGUGAAAGCCCGGAGCUCAACUCCGGGACUGCCUUGGAUACGGGAUCGCUUGAGGAUUGGAGAGGCAAGGGGAAUUCCACGUGUAGCGGUGAAAUGCGUAGAUAUGUGGAGGAACACCGGUGGCGAAGGCGGGUCUCUGGGCCGAUACUGACGCUGAGGAGCGAAAGCGUGGGGAGCGAACAGG